AACAACUCACCUGCCGAAUGAACUAGCCCUGAAAAUGGAUGACGCUUAAGCGGGUUGCCGACACCAGACCGUUUCGAUAAGAAGCGAUCGAAAUGAGUAGGAGGGCGUGGCGGUUUUGUUGAGAAGGAUGAGACGCAAGUCUAUCUGAAACGGCCGCUAGUGCAGAUCUUGGUGGUAGUAGCAAAUAUUCAAGCGAGAUCCUUGAAGGGCGAAGCGGGGAAGGGUUCCACGCGAACAUUGAUUGGGCGUGGGUGAGUCGUUCCUAAGCCGGGUGGUAAUCGUUCUUCGAUCGGCGAAAGGGAAGCGGGUUAAAAUUCUCGCACACGGAUGUGGAGGCGGUGACGCAAAUUGAGGUGGAGACGUUAGCGGUGGCACUGGGCAGAGUUUUCUUUUCUGUUUAACCUGUGAGUGCACUCUGUGGAAUCCGAUUAUCGGGCGAAACAGGUGCUUAUGGGAAGAGCGUCGGGGCGUCCCCGGCGUCCAGUACGCCACCGAUAGCCCUUGAAAAUCCAUCUGCAAUGAAAUUUCACGCCGUGGCGUACCGAUAACCGCAUCAGGUCCCCAAGGUGAACAGCCUCUGCUCAAUAUGAACAAU
rnacentral:rRNA from 1 species